rnacentral:lncRNA from 1 species
CUCUUUCCUUGCGCGAGAGUAUGGAGUAAGUAGGGGGAAACUCGCUGACUCUACAGAGAUAUACAGCGUACUCUGUUGACGCAUAGUCACCAAUUACGCAUCGGGUAUCAACGCGUCUGUGAUGUUUUGUCGUUCAAAGUCUCAGACUCGAUUCUUUUUGAAACUGCGGAUCUGCAGAAUAAAUCAAAGAAGCUGGUUUAGUUCACUUUUUACUUGCUCAUUGCGUACUGGCGACUACAGGGUGUGACAUACGUUCGAUUCACGGAAGCCAACACAAUUCUUUUCUGGAGAGCAUUCGUCCUGCGUCCGCGCAACAUCGCAGACUUGCGAGUGACAGCAUACCGUCACAUGGUGUAGGCGAGGAGGCCGCCAGUCUUUGUGUCACAAGGCAUAGGUACGUAAACGUAACCGUUUAACGAAAGCGCGAGCAAGUCCCUUGUUUCGAUUAUGAACAGCGGAUGGAGCUGCGACAAAGAUUCAGCAGUAAGACACGAUCCAGCCCCUGGCAGAUACACAGUUGGCAGCGUGACAGGGUGGAACCGACGAUUCACCGGAGAAUAGGUCGGCGAGUACAGAGUGUGCCAGUGCCAAACUCGUUUCGAUGAUAGCAACACACGCUGGAUUCUGCUGGCUUACCGCCCUCAAGAAAUCUGGGGUGAUGCACCAAGGCUCGGGGGGGGGGCUGAAUCAGCGUUGUUGACCCCGGUGGCGCCUUUCGUUCCUGUACACCAUCGUUUCAACUGUAUCCAACACAACAUCAAAGAAAUUAUCGCUCACGAUUUAGAACAUUGGUUCUUCUUUCUGCUUCGACUCUACAUUUUGUCCAUUCCUCGAACAGCGCUGGGAUAGUGUACAAUGAGGGCUGACCCUGGGGCGCGAGAAGGGAACGCUGCCACUUAGAGGUACGGAUUUUCGCCGUUCUCUGACGGGGUGGAAGACGGUUGAGAAGAAUAUUCCUCAAGGAGCGAACCAGGAAAGAUUCCUGCAGUUCCAUCAAGGGCGAUGUUUCCUCUGUCCUCAUUCUUUCAAGAAGAAUCCGCCGGUGACCUGGCACAGAGUGAGGCACCAGGGUAACCGCUUAGAAGCGAUUUCCACACGCCAGCUGACGAACUCGAGGGAGAUGCUCUCGAUUGAGUCGGGCGUACCACCCUAGCUGAAGUUUUUAGGCAGUGCGUGACUUUGGUUCAGUGGCA